UACGUAGGUGGCAAGCGUUGUCCGGAAUUAUUGGGCGUAAAGCGCGCGCAGGCGGUCCUUUAAGUCUGAUGUGAAAGCCCACGGCUCAACCGUGGAGGGUCAUUGGAAACUGGGGGACUUGAGUACAGAAGAGGAGAGUGGAAUUCCACGUGUAGCGGUGAAAUGCGUAGAGAUGUGGAGGAACACCAGUGGCGAAGGCGACUUACUGGACACAUAUUGACGCUGAGGUGCGAAAGCGUGGGGAGCAAACAGG
rnacentral:rRNA from 1 species